rnacentral:lncRNA from 1 species
UUCUAAAAACAUUAACCCCAAUCUUUGAGGACAAUUGACAAGAAGUUGAAUUUGAAGGCAAUGGAUACAAAAUAUUACAUUCAAUAUUUCUGCCUUGUAAAGUACUUAAAUAUUUGACAUCUCAUGUCAAGGUGUCCACUAGGACUGGCCAUGGUCCAGUUUUAGGCUGGAACCAGCGCUUUGUAUAAGUAAUUUCCUGCUUCCUCCUUGCUUAUUGAACCCUGUCGCUAAGGAUUUAAGACUCAGUAGGAUAGUUCUAGUAUUGUUACCAUCCAAUAUUAACUUAGAAAUAAGUUCUAAUAACCAUUAAGCUCAAUCUUUGAGGACAAUUGACAAGAAGUUGAAUUUGAAGGCAAUGGCUACAAAAUAUUACAUUCAAUAUUUCUGCCUUGUAAAGUACUUAACUAUUUGACAUCUUCAGGUCAAGGUGUCCACUAGGACUGGCCAUGGUCCAGUUCUAGGCUGGAACCAGCGCCUCCAGUUUCAGGGUUAGGGGGACUAGAAUAGGACC